rnacentral:rRNA from 1 species
UACGUAGGGUGCGAGCGUUAUUCGGAAUUACUGGGCGUAAAGCGUGCGCAGGCGGUUGUGCAAGACAGAUGUGAAAUCCCCGGGCUCAACCUGGGAAUUGCAUUUGUGACUGCACGGCUGGAGUGUGUCAGAGGGGGGUAGAAUUCCACGUGUAGCAGUGAAAUGCGUAGAGAUGUGGAGGAAUACCGAUGGCGAAGGCAGCCCCCUGGGAUAACACUGACGCUCAUGCACGAAAGCGUGGGGAGCAAACAGG